GAUGAACGCUAGCGGAGGCUUAACACAUGCAAGUCGAGGGCAUCACGAGGUAGCAAUACUUGGUGGCGACCGGCGCACGGGUGAGUAACACGUAUGCAACCUUCCCUGUACAGGGGGAUAACCCGGAGAAAUUCGGACUAAUACCCCAUGAUGAUAUUAGUGGGGCAUCCUUUAAUAUUUAAAGCUCUGGCGGUACAGGAUGGGCAUGCGCGACAUUAGCUAGUUGGUAAGGUAACGGCUUACCAAGGCGACGAUGUUUAGGGGACCUGAGAGGGUUGUCCCCCACACUGGUACUGAGACACGGACCAGACUCCUACGGGAGGCAGCAGUGAGGAAUAUUGGUCAAUGGGCGCAAGCCUGAACCAGCCAUCCCGCGUGAAGGAAGAAUGCGCUACGCGUUGUAAACUUCUUUCCAGGGGGAGAAUAAUCCUGUCGUGACAGGACUUGACGGUACUCUGGGAAUAAGCAUCGGCUAACUCCGUG
rnacentral:rRNA from 1 species